rnacentral:pre_miRNA from 1 species
CACAUACUCCCUCUGCCCGGAAUUAUUUGUCGUAGAAAUGGAUGUAUCUAGACAUAUUUUUAGUUCUAGAUACAUUCAUUUCUGUGACAAGUAAUUCGGGAUGGAGGGAGUAUUUG